rnacentral:rRNA from 1 species
AUGGGCUCAAGGCAAUACAAACGGCGUAAAGCACGACUAGAACAAAUCAUAAUAUAAAUUAAGGACGAAACACCACUGGGUAGUAAAAUACCAUAAGUAAACAUAAGCACAUAAACCUUAAUACCAGUUCAACUCGUGAAAAUUAGGAUACAAACUAGGAUUAGAUACCCUACUAUGCCUAACAGUAACACGGCAACUAUUACACAUACAUGCCCGCCAAACAAAUACGAGCGAAAGCUUAAAACUUAAAAGACUUGACGGUACUUCAACCAACCUAGAGGAGCCUGUCCACUAACCGACAAUCCACGAUCAACCCAACCAGCUCUUGCCCAUCAGCCUAUAUACCGCCGUCGUCAGCCUACCUUGUGAAAGAAGCUAAGUAGGCCAAAUAGUACCACACUAAAACGACAGGUCGAGGUGUAGCAUAUGGGCUGGUUAAAGAUGGGCUACAUUUUCUAAUACAGAAAAUACGGACACAGCCAUGAAACAAAGCCUAAGAAGGAGGAUUUAGCAGUAAGCUAAGAACAUAAUACUUAACUGAAACAAAUGCAAUGAAGUGCGCACACACCGCCCGUCAUCCCUGCCACAACAAAACAAUAAUAAAUAAACCAAAAUAAACCAACAC